rnacentral:lncRNA from 1 species
UUUUUUCUGAAGCAAAAGUGUCUAAUGAUGAUUCUGUGUACUGAAUAUGAAACAGUUAAGCAGAGUAGUUGGUAGACAAAUGUCCUCUAAGUCCUUGAAUAGCUGAAUCUCUUUCUCUGGUUUAGCAGGAACCAAGUUUUGCUUAUAUUUCUUUCACCGUCUUCAUCCCUCCCCUAGACAUAUGAAAGAAUAUGGAGAGAAUUGUAAAUAUUGGAGGGGGAGACAGAGGAUGUGGGGAAAUAAAGCAUAAGUAUGUUUAGGGGGUGGAUAUAACAUUAAUCACAAUAGCCAAUAUUUCACUGUAAUUCAUAUUUACUGUGAAUCAUAGUAGCCAAUGUUUACUGAGGACUCUGUGUAAACCCUGAGCUAGGUAUGCUGAUUCCCACUAUUGUCAUGAAAGGAAGCUAUGAUUAUUCCUGUCUUAAAAUGAGAACUCAAGGUCUCCCAGAUUUUAAGUAGGAAGUCUACAUCAUACAGAUGGUAAGAUUAGCCUGGAGUGAUACACAGUAUUAAAGAAUAAUAUAUAGCAAGUAAUAGAAUCUACAGCUUAUUUUUUUCCUUCACAUUUUCAUCAUAAAACAAGAGGCUUGAGCCAGAUGACAUAUUAGUCCCUCACUGUGUUCUGUGACAGUGGGGGAAGGGACACCCUGUGGAGGCAGAGCUCACAAGAUAUCUAGCUCUGUUUUUCCCAGUGAAAUCUCCUGUAAAUAAGUGGCGGUGGAGUGAAAUAAGAAGUGGAGAUGGAAUGUGCCAGUUUCCAGAUGGUGGGGCUGGUUUGCUAUAUGGUGGAAUUCAGAUUUUCUAGGUAGGUGUCAAUAACAUCAAAUCAAAUUAAGGGUUUGGGUCACUUAUUCUAAAUGUGACUUCUCAUUCCUAUAGAUUGCAAUUUUGA